rnacentral:rRNA from 1 species
CUACGUGCCAGCAGCCGCGGUCAUACGUAGGGUGCAAGCAUUAUCCGGAGUGACUGGGCGUAAAGAGUUGCGUAGGCGGUUUAAUAAGUGAAUAGUGAAACCUGGUGGCUCAACCAUACAGACUAUUAUUCAAACUGUUAAACUCGAGAAUGGUAGAGGUAACUGGAAUUUCUAGUGUAGGAGUGAAAUCCGUAGAUAUUAGAAGGAACACCGAUGGCGUAGGCAGGUUACUGGGCCAUUUCUGACGCUAAGGCACGAAAGCGUGGGGAGCGAACCGGAUUAGAUACCCGGGUAGUCCACGCCGUAAACGAUGGAUACUAGCUGUUGGAGGUAUCGACCCCUUCAGUAGCGAAGCUAACGCGUUAAGUAUCCCGCCUGUGGAGUACGGCCGCAAGGCUAAAACAUAAAGGAAUUGACGGGGACCCGCACAAGCGGUGGAUUAUGUUCUUUAAUUCGAAGCAACGCGAAGAACCUUACCAGGUCUUGACAUCC